GUGUGAUGUCACCUCUCCAGGGUAGUUAAAUGUGUGAUGUCAGCUCUCCAGGGUAGUUAAAUGUGUGAUGUCACCUCUCCAGGGUAGUUAAAUGUGUGAUGUCACCUCUCCAGGGUAGUUAAAUGUGUGAUGUCAUCUGUCCAGGGUAGUUAAAUGUGUGAUGUCACCUCUCCAGGGUAGUUAAAUGUGUGAUGUCAUCUCUCCAGGGUAGUUACAUGUGUGAUGUCAUCUCUCCAGGGUAGUUUAAUGUGUGAUGUCACCUCUCCAGGGUAGUUACAUGUGUGAUGUCAUCUCUCCAGGGUAGUUAAAUGUGUGAUGUCACCUCUCCAGGGUAGUUAAAUGUGUGAUGUCAGCUCUCCAGGGUAGUUACAUGUGUCUAACUCAGGUGAUGUAUAUACUGUAUCUAACUCAGGUGAUGUUUAUACUGUAUCUAACAGGUGAUGGUUAUACUGCGAAAACACAAUAAGGCAUAAAGAGAGGGAGACGAGGAGCCACUGAGCUGAAUGACCUGAUAGCCAAUAGCAGCCCUGUAACGGCAAGGAGCCACUGAGCUGAACGACCUGAUAGCCAAUAGCAG
ensembl:lncRNA